rnacentral:lncRNA from 1 species
UUCACGUGAAGAAAGCGAGGAAAUGGUGGGCAAAGUAGUGGAAGCUGGAACAGGCAACAAGGCAGCAAGGCGGCUGCAUGAAGCAGCCAGGUUCAACAGCCUGCCAUGCUCUGCAAAAUUCUUGCUGUGAGGCUUGAGUGCCACCUGCUCCGAGUGGUUCUUGCCACUACAAGCUGCUUCUGCCACUUGUCCAUCCAUAUACUGAUUCUGAUCAUCAGAUGGAUUCGAAUGCACUUCCUCAUCACUUCCAUCAAGCUGGUCAAUCCCAUUAGAGCUUUUUUGAGGAAUCUCAUGCUCAUGCAAUGAACUAGAACCAAGAUUAGGAAGCGUCCACCUAGUCUCUGGAGAGUAGGUUUGAUCAGCUAUGCUACUCUCAGUCUGUGGAGCUUCUGAAUGAUUUUGAUGGGGGGAAGCAUCUAACAUCUGGAUAGGCUCAACAUCGAUAAGGUCUGGUGAAGCAUCUAACUUCUGGAUAGGCUCAACAUCAAUAAGGUCUGGUGAAGCAUCUAACUUCUGGAUAGGCUCAACGUCAAUAAGGUCUGGUGAAGCAUCUAACUUCUGGAUAGGCCCAACGUCAAUAAGGUCUGGUGAUGAUCCCUUUGACAGGCGUUUACUGCGCCUAAGAUGAGGACACUCAUUUGAAGAAUUCAUCAAAUUCUUGUUUUUUCUCUUACGAUUUCCUUUAGUAUUUUCGGUGCUCUUUAUAUUUUUGUCUGAUGGCUUGCAGACAUAGUCCACCUUUUCCUGCCCCAUGUGGACUCCGUCACUAGGAUUUUCACCUUCCUGCUGCUCAUGGUCAACUUGAUGAUGAGAACGUGCCUGCUCAUGCUCGAUGGUACUAGGGACAGACACAUGUCCAGUUCUCUGCUUGCCGUGCAUUAACACUCUGUCCGCCUGGUUUAUAUGAACCGAAGACUCUGUGGGCAUUACUUGUGCCUGUGAUGCGUGGACAUUUAUCAAAUUAUUGUUUUUCCUCUUAUGAUUUCCUUCAGUAUUUUCGCCUCUCUUCCUAUUUUCGCUUGAUGGCUUGCAAGCAGAGUCCACCGUUUCCUGCUCCAUGUGGACUGUGUCAAUGGGAUUUUCACCUGCCUGCUGCUCAUGGACAACUUGAUGCCGAGAAUGUAUCUGCCCAUGCUCGAUAGCACUAGGGACAUCCACAUGUUCAGUUAUCUGCUUGCUGUGAAUUGGAAUUGGGUCAUCAGGAAACCUUCCUACUGCCUGGUUUGUAUGAACUGCAGACUCUGUGGGCAUUACUUGAGCCUGUGAUGCAUGGACAACCUGGUUAGGCUGCUCUUUUUGGACAUUUCCUUCUUGCCACGAUUUUGGACCAAAUACAAAUCUAUAUGUUCUCUUGUCAGACCUGGCAAUAUUUCCUUGGACAGGUUCAGUAUGUGACUCCUCCCUAUGGGCUGAAGCAUUAGGAAGCUCAUUUUGCAGUGUCCUUGCUGCAUCAGUUUGUGUCCUCUUGCCAGGCCUGGCAAUAGUUCCUUGGACAGGUUCAGUAUGUGACUCAUCCCUACGGAUUGAAGGAUUAGGAGGCUCAGUUUGUAGCGUCCUUGCUGCAUCAAUCUGUGUUCUUGGCUCAGCUCUAAAUGAAUUGAAGGACUCCUCUCCAAAAUAAUGCUUGUAUUGUUGUCCAUGUUUAGGAGGCUCAGUUUGUAGCGUCCUUGCUGCAUCAAUCUGUGUUCUUGGCUCAGCUCUAAAUGAAUUGAAGGACUCCUCUCCAAAAUAAUGCUUGUAUUGUUGUCCAUGUGUCUGCUCUGAAUGAAUGGGCUUUUGAACCAUUCCUGCACGAGUUGAUUGACUCGAAGGCUGCUGCACCUGCUGCACAAUAUCGGUCAACAAAGAGAAGAAAAUUGAACAAUAUAUACAGUGCAUGAUAUACUCACUCUGCUAAAUAAAGUAUCACAAUGGUAACUGUGGACAAUUCUUUGUCAGCUUUAACCAACAUCUAAACAAAAAUUGGAUUAAUCACAUGAGAACUGUAUAAGUUUGUCAUGGAUACAUAUUCAUAACGGGUACAAAUUCCAGUGAAGCAUCCAAUGGCGAUAGCGAGUGGAG